CUGGCGGCGUCCUAAUCAUGCAAGUCGAGCGAACAGAUAAGGAGCUUGCUCCUUUGACGUUAGCGGCGGACGGGUGAGUAACACGUGGAUAACCUACCUAUAAGACUGGGAUAACUUCGGGAAACCGGAGCUAAUACCGGAUAACAUAUUGAACCGCAUGGUUCAAUAGUGAAAGGCGGCUUUGCUGUCACUUAUAGAUGGAUCCGCGCCGUAUUAGCUAGUUGGUAAGGUAACGGCUUACCAAGGCAACGAUACGUAGCCGACCUGAGAGGGUGAUCGGCCACACUGGAACUGAGACACGGUCCAGACUCCUACGGGAGGCAGCAGUAGGGAAUCUUCCGCAAUGGGCGAAAGCCUGACGGAGCAACGCCGCGUGGAGUGAUGAAGGUCUUCGGAUCGUAAAACUCUGUUAUCAGGGAAGAACAAAUGUGUAAGUAACUGUGCACAUCUUGACGGUACCUGAUCAGAAAGCCACGGCUAACUACGUGCCAGCAGCCGCGGUAAUACGUAGGUGGCAAGCGUUAUCCGGAAUUAUUGGGCGUAAAGCGCGCGUAGGCGGUUUUUUAAGUCUGAUGUGAAAGCCCACGGCUCAACCGUGGAGGGUCAUUGGAAACUGGAAAACUUGAGUGCAGAAGAGGAAAGUGGAAUUCCAUGUGUAGCGGUGAAAUGCGCAGAAAAUAUGGAAGGACCCCAGUGGCGAAGGCGACUUUCUGGUCUGUAACUGACGCUGAUGUGCGAAAGCGUGGGGAUCAAACAGGAUUAGAUACCCUGGUAGU
rnacentral:rRNA from 1 species